rnacentral:rRNA from 1 species
ACCCGCUGAACUUAAGCAUAUCAAUAAGCGGAGGAAAAGAAACUAACAGGGAUUGCCCUAGUAACGGCGAGUGAAGCGGCAACAGCUCAAAUUUGAAAUCUGGCGUCUUUGGCGUCCGAGUUGUAAUUUGCAGAGGGCGCUUUGGCAUUGGCAGCGGUCCAAGUUCCUUGGAACAGGACGUCACAGAGGGUGAGAAUCCCGUACGUGGUCGCUAGCCUUUACCGUGUAAAGCCCCUUCGACGAGUCGAGUUGUUUGGGAAUGCAGCUCUAAAUGGGAGGUAAAUUUCUUCUAAAGCUAAAUACUGGCCAGAGACCGAUAGCGCACAAGUAGAGUGAUCGAAAGAUGAAAAGCACUUUGGAAAGAGAGUUAAAAAGCACGUGAAAUUGUUGAAAGGGAAGCGCUUGCAGCCAGACUUGCCUGUAGUUGCUCAUCCGGGUUUUUACCCGGUGCACUCUUCUAUAGGCAGGCCAGCAUCAGUUUGGGCGGUUGGAUAAAGGUCUCUGUCAUGUACCUCUCUUCGGGGAGAACUUAUAGGGGAGACGACAUGCAACCAGCCCGGACUGAGGUCCGCGCAUCUGCUAGGAUGCUGGCGUAAUGGCUGU